AUGAAAAUCUUAUUUCCAUAAUCUCUCACUAGUUAGGUGUUUUAGGGAGAGAAAGAGGAAGCUUUAUUAAUAGCUUGAGAGCUUUUGGAAAGAAGUUCAAAGUUACAAAGCUAUCAAGGUGCUAAUGAAGCCCCAUCAACCCAAUUGGAUCAUUUGGGGGAUUAAGAGUCGGCUAAAGGCUCAACGAAUACCGAUUAAGAGACAGUCGGUAACUAGGACGAGGUGUCCUCGUGGACUUGUAUCCAUCUUUUGGUAGGUGUCUCGGCAUUCAGUAACUGUACAUUCGCUCGAGUCUCUCUGCUGGACAUCGAGUCUCCUUUUGUUGUGUAUA